UGCAGCUCUGUGACUCAUUCCUGACAGUGACAGGGAGCUGUACAUGGACUUCGUGGUCUGGAAAGCCCUCCACUGGCCUUGGCAUCAGACAAGUCUGGUAUGGAAUCCUGACCUGCUACUUACUAGCCCAGUGACCUUGGGCAAGUCAUUGACGAUUCUUCGUCUGGAAUCAGGAACUCUAAUUUUUAUCUGGCAUGGUUGCUGGGAAGAGGAGCCUCCCAAGUUAGCAUCAUAUGCACAACAUGAGCUCUGUGCAAUGUGGCUGUGAUGAUCUUUAUCAGAGACCCAGAACAUUCUACAUCUUGCAGUGCUGCUGAAAGAUGAAACGAGAUCACUUGUGACAGCUAUUCCUGCGUGGACACCCAGUGGGCACUUAGCAAAGGGCUCUUCCUGGACUAUCAUUCCUGCGCUGUCAUCGGACAGCUGUGCUGCUCCCAGGACUGGCUCAAGCUCGCUGGGAGAGCUGCCGGCAUCGGAUGGAGAGUGAGGAGAAGGUUUAAUUUUCAGGACGACAGUCUCAUCAGGGCCGUGAAAGGCUGUGGAGGAGAAGGGAAGAAGUUCCGGAAAGCCAGAAACUUCAAACUUCCGGAAGCCUCCAGUUGGGGAUAAAAGACAACUACUGCUCACCGCUUUGUGGCCUGAGGGGUUACUUCAGGACUUUGUUGGGCCUUCGUUUUCGUCCAGCAUCCACUGUCAGGCCUCACCUGGUUGCUGAGAAAGCUAAGAGGUAGAGGGAAGCAAGGAAAGAUGACUCUUCCAGCCCUUCCAGCCCUGAUGGGGCGACUCACUUUGCUCUCAGACAUGGAAGCUUUGGCUAAUUUCCUUGGUGACAAUCCUCUUACACAGUGCUGCUCAGAUCCAGGGACUUGGACUGACCCUGUUCUCAUAUGUGGAGUGUGCUGCUCCCACCCACUACGUAACAAUCAAGGCCAAGACCCUGGGUGUCCUCACUGUGGCAGCCAUCCUUUGGCCACUCUUUGUGGGAGUCCCAGGAAGCUCCCCUCAAGUCUUCCAGCCUCCUGCCUCCCCACCCCACGUUCCUCCUAGCUCCCACAUGUGCAUGACCCCCUCCUCAUCCCUCCUUGGCCUCCACACUCAGCCUUCCUGCUGGCUCUGCCCAUCAGCCACCACAGCAACACUGUGUGUUUCCAAAGGGGAGACACUGAGCAAAGUCCUGCUUCCGGCUCGCAGCCUGCCCCGUCUCCCCAUACUCCAGGCUGGGCAGGUUGGAAUCCUGCUGAUGUCCUUGGCCUGGCCUACCCUGGCAGUCAGAUCUUCCUUUCCUCCCCAGCCUGUAGGGGUGGGAGGUGAGGGGGAGAUCUUAAUUUCUCCUCUUCUAAUCAGCACAGCUGGGAGAACCAGCAGCCAAGGGCAGGAGGAGGUGAAAGGCCACAGGCCUAAUCUGCCAGCCGCCCAGUCACCAGAGCACGGCUCCCCUCUAACAAGCCAUGGAGCAAACAAAUUAUCUUUGUUGUUCCUGGGAAAUCUGCAAGUACUUACCCGUGUAAUUAGCAUCUGUGCCUUGUGCCUGCAGUUCAGGUGAACAGGCCGCAGCUACUCCGUGCCAGGCGGCCUGUAAUCAAAACCAAAGCGGCCGCCAGGGUGAUGGCGGGUGAAGACGAUGUCAAACUCAAUUGGGCCCUCAUUUGGGACAGUAUCCCAGGAGCCGGGCACACUGGGACCUCUGUAGCUCGGAAAUUCAAGAAAGGGGUGGGAGGCCACCGUCCUCCAGUGUGUCCCACAGACCCACCCUCGAACUCUGAAGCCAGGGCCAAUGGAGGGCCUGGGCAAAGGUUCUGGGCCCAGGAAUCUGCAUUUUAAGCAGCUUCCCAGCUGAUUGUUUGGUCUUCAUGAGACAUAUUAAAAAUAUAUAUACAGGCCCUCCCUGGUGGCACAGCGGGUUAAAGCACUGCACUGAGAA